UUCCACAUGAUCGCAUGUGAUUGUGGGAAAGAUUCUAUCGGCGUGGGAUGGGGUCGCGUCCUAUCAGCUUGUUGGUGAGGUAACGGCUCACCAAGGCUUCGACGGGUAGCCGGCCUGAGAGGGCGACCGGCCACAUUGGGACUGAGAUACGGCCCAGACUCCUACGGGAGGCAGCAGUGGGGAAUAUUGCACAAUGGGCGCAAGCCUGAUGCAGCGACGCCGCGUGAGGGAUGGAGGCCUUCGGGUUGUAAACCUCUUUUGUUUGGGAGCAAGCCUUCGGGUGAGUGUACCUUUCGAAUAAGCGCCGGCUAACUACGUGCCAGCAGCCGCGGUAAUACGUAGGGCGCAAGCGUUAUCCGGAUUUAUUGGGCGUAAAGGGCUCGUAGGCGGCUCGUCGCGUCCGGUGUGAAAGUCCAUCGCUUAACG
rnacentral:rRNA from 1 species